UGGCAUCCAGGAUCUCCACCUCAAAGAAAACAACGGCCUUUUUAGUUUUUUUAGCCUGUUUGCGUUUCGCUGGUGCUGCCCCCGACACCGGAGCCCCCAGCCCAGCAUUGCUGGACUUCUUCCCACUGGCCUCGAGAGCUAAGGCAUCCAUGUCCCCUACUUUUCCUCCAGCUACUGGCUGAACUCCUCCCUACGCCCAGUCCUUCAUUCCCUUAUUCUGAAGGUUGACUUCCGAUCCACAGAGAAAAGGGGGGAGACCUCAGCUGUGGACAUAAAUCUCUCGUUGGCAUUCCUCCUGCCCCUCCCUCUUACGUCACCCCCCCCACCCCACCCCACCACCCAUUCUUUCACAUCUGGUGUGUAAGAUUUACAUUAAAGUGUGCCAACAGUUAAGCCCUAAAAUAAAAAUAAAUGAAUAAAAUAAAAUAUAUAUAUUUUAAAAAGUGUGCCUCCAGUUAUACCCCAACCCUAAAAGGAAAUAAAUAAGAAAUAAAUAAAAUAAAACAAAUAAAUAAAUAAAUUGAUAAAUGAAAAAAUAUUUUUAAAAUUAUAAUAAUAAAAAAUAAUUAAAAUAAACAAAAAAAUAAUAAAUAAACAUUAAAAAGUGUGCCAACAGUUGCAUCCCUGAAGGACAGCAGUGGUCUGCACAUGCUCAUUAGCUGUGAAGCGUGCAGCUUCCUGUUGCAGAUUUGAAAUGCGACGCGUCCCCAAAGCAGACAUAUUUACGUCCCGGAGAUGUCUUCACGUCCAGCAGAGUGAAAGGACGAGGGGGAGAAAACAUGGCAAACAUUGCCCCCCAUUACUAAUCUGAACCUGUCUUUUGCUCCUCAGCUAAAUAUAAACGCCCCCCCCGUCCCCACAGACAGCAGACAGAUGUAUGCAGUGAUAUCAUAGGUGUAUUAUUAAAGACACCCAACCAAAGACAAUCGACGUUUCUCAGUGAACUCCACAGCUUGGGUCUCAGUCACAAAGACUGUAUGCUUUUCCAUUAUGCUACACAUUAAAACCGAAUCAAUGGGGCCUUUACGUUUGAUGCAGAUUCACCUUUUUCCAGCAAACACAGACAGACAAUAACAGCUGACGUUCUCAGAGAUUAAAGAAAGCUAUGACUUCUGGGAAACGGUCAAUCCAUCUUAUAUUCCGCUUCCUACUCACUCAUCCAAACAGAGAAAAGGACACCUGACACCCCAGUGGAGUCUUCAGAGACCUGAACCCUUUCCAGUCUCUGGGUGUCACAUAGCUGCUAUGCUGUCCCGCCCCCCCCCCGCGUUCCCGUCUAUAUAAAAGCUGGGAACACUGAAGUCCGGUUCAGCCGCUGAGGAAUAACCGCAAAAUCUGCAUUUCCAGCUUUGCUUUUAUGAAACCUGUUCAUAGAAGAAAAAGAAAUAGGUGUGUCUCAGGAGUCCAGAGCACAGCGGCGCGUGGCAGCAUCACGGCUCCGGUUGAGCCAGUCUGUCAGACUGACUGCUUCAGAUCCCGUCCGGUGGGUUUAAGGCUCUUAUGAAACGGAAUCACGGUAAUCUCCUCAACACCGACGCCGUUUCAACGGUCUGUGGCUGUUUGAGCACGACGCCAAAGACGACAAUCAUGUCAAUGGAGAGGUGCGCACAUGACACGUGCACGGACCUACACCUGUUCACCUGGGACAUUGUUGAGCAAGAACCCGAUAAGAAUGCCGGCAGCAGUCAGCGGGCAGAGAUGACUGACAGGCUGACAUCCACGGACAUAUAUCUCUAUACAUGCUGUCUAUGCUGACAUCAACCCCCCCAGAGCCGGGGGGGCAGGGUCUGCGACCAAAGCUAGCGCGGAACUGACCCCAGAAACGAGCCAGAGGCGGCGUUUGCUUAGCGAACCGCGCGGACGUUCGGAUAAAACCGGAUUCCUGCUCGGAGAACACAGAAAAGAGGCUUUACGUCAUUACGAAUAGGUUAUAUGACGGGACUUUAGUGGAAUCUCACCUCGUAGUGCUUCAUCUUGGCGGUUAGCAAAGCUCUCUGAUCCACCGGGAUGAGUGACGCUCAAACCU